AGCCAAGUAAACUCCAUAGAACCGCGCUUUCUUUCCCUUUUGGGAUAAACACAAACAAAUUCGUAUAUCCGCGUAUACGGCCUCCUAAGCCGUAGGUCGCAGGUUCGAUUCCUGCCUAGG
rnacentral:tRNA from 1 species